AUACGGAGGGAGCGAGCGUUAAUCGGAAUUACUGGGCGUAAAGCGCGCGUAGGCGGCAUUGUAAGUCGGAUGUGAAAGCCCUGGGCUUAACCUGGGAAUGGCAUUCGAUACUGCAGAGCUAGAGUAUGGUAGAGGGAAGUGGAAUUUCCGGUGUAGCGGUGAAAUGCGUAGAUAUCAGAAGGAACACCAGUGGCGAAGGCGACUUCCUGGGCCAAUACUGACGCUGAGGUGCGAAAGCGUGGGGAGCAAACAGGAUUAGAUACCCCGGUAGUCC
rnacentral:rRNA from 1 species